rnacentral:tRNA from 1 species
UGGGAUAUAGCUCAGUGGUAGAGUACUUACUUGCCUGGCAUGCAGAAGACCCUAGUUUCUAUUCCCAGUAUUGUAC